rnacentral:rRNA from 1 species
CACGUAGGGGGCGAGCGUUGUCCGGAUUUAUUGGGCGUAAAGGGCUCGUAGGCGGCUUUGUCAGUCGGGUGUGAAACCUCCAGGCUCAACCUGGAGCCGCCACCCGAUACUGCAAUAGCUAGAGUCCGGUAGGGGAGCAUGGAACUCCUGGUGUAGCGGUGAAAUGCGCAGAUAUCAGGAAGAACACCAGUGGCGAAGGCGGUGCUCUGGGCCGGAACUGACGCUGAGGAGCGAAAGCGUGGGGAGCAAACAGG